rnacentral:rRNA from 1 species
CAGCCGCCGCGGUAAUACGGAGGAUCCAAGCGUUAUCCGGAUUUAUUGGGUUUAAAGGGUGCGUAGGCGGCCUAUUAAGUCAGGGGUGAAAGACGGUAGCUCAACUAUCGCAGUGCCUUUGAUACUGAUGGGCUUGAAUGUACUUGAGGUAGGCGGAAUGUGACAAGUAGCGGUGAAAUGCAUAGAUAUGUCACAGAACACCAAUUGUGAAGGCAGCUUACUAAAGUAUGAUUGACGCUGAGGCACGAAAGCGUGGGGAUCAAACAGGAUUAGAUACCCGCGUAGUCCCUGUCUCUUAUAC